CAGCCGCCACGGUAAUACGUAGGUGGCAAGCGUUAUUCGGAUUGAUUGGGUGUAAAGGGUGUGCAGACGGCUUAUUAAGUCACUUGUUAAAUUCUUCGGCCUAACUGAAGGUCUGCAAGUGAUACUGAUGAGCUAGAGGGUGGAAGAGAGAAGUGGAAUUCUCGGAGUAGCGGUAAAAUGCGUAGAUCUCGAGAGGAACACCAAUGGCGAAGGCAGCUUCUUGGUCCAUUCCUGACGUUCAUACACGAAAGCGUGGGGAGCAAACAGGAUUAGAUACCCCAGUAGUCCCUGUCUCUUAUAC
rnacentral:rRNA from 1 species